GUGGAGGAGGUGAUGCUAGUGGUCGGUGGUCUCGGCCUGGCCGUCGAUUCUUGCCGGCUAUGCUCACCACACUCCUCCACCGCGCCUGUCCCUGACGGCCAUCGUGGUCCCGCCGUGAUCAAGGACAACUGGCCUGUCUACUCCCUGCCGGAGGUUGCCCCAACCGCUGCGACCUCGACGCCCCGCCAUUCAUGACCUCGUGGACAUCGAAAGGCAAUGGGCGCAGCCAUAUGGGACCUCCUCCAUGCGCUGGAUCUGAAGAACGUGUAGGGGCGCGUCCACGGCGUGCAGUAGGUUGGCCCCAAGGACCACUGCUGUGACCUUGUUGAUGCCGCUGUUCAGGACCUCGUCGACAUCGAAAGACCACCUAGUUUCUUGUUUGGGCUGGCUGUUGCGGCGAGUUCACUGCGCCUCAGAAGUGACAUUGUUAAUUGAAUCAUGGCUGUGUGUAUGGCAUGUAACAGUGACUUGAUCUUUCAGAGGUAUAAUCCAUCCAUUAGUUAGUAACUCCAGAUGCCCAGGGCAUGGCUAUUUCCUCAUUUUGUUGUUAUGUGGAUGUACCAUGCUCUCCUCUACAUGCAUGCUCUUUGACACCACCAUGUAGCUGUUUCUGAAGUGUGAUUCCGCCCUUGAGCCGAUUUGUGCUUGUUUAGUUUCAGGUUUUGGCUCUAGUGUAUAAUUAGAGGCUGAUACCUGCAGACAAUAGUCGAACGUGCAAACGCGAAAUGGCCAGAUUUAGUCGAGCGAUCAAUUUAGUCUGAUGCACGCCCAGCCGCCUCGCUGAAUCCCUCCAUACGACAAGCAAGAUAAGUUUUUUCUGCCGGUGCUGCAACAUCCCUACGCGGCGGCGCUCGAUUCGUGGCCGAUGGGGCUGGAUCCGACGACAGCGAAGGAGAAGGCGGCUGGAGGCGGAAGAGAAGGAGGCCGGCUCCCCUCCUGCCAGCCGUCGACCACUCCCCUGGGCGCAGAGCUUCGCCUCCCCACUAUCGAGGUCCGGAGUUGGACGGCGAAGGA